rnacentral:rRNA from 1 species
UACGGGGGGAGCAAGCGUUGUUCGGAUUUACUGGGCGUAAAGGGCGCGUAGGCGGCGUGACAAGUCACUUGUGAAAUCUCCGGGCUUAACUCGGAACGGUCAAGUGAUACUGUCGUGCUAGAGUACAGAAGGGGCAACUGGAAUUCUCGGUGUAGCGGUGAAAUGCGUAGAGAUCGGGAAGAACACCAGUGGCGAAAGCGCUCUACUGGGCCAUGACUGACACUGAGGGACGAAAGCUAGGGGAGCGAAAGGG